UACGGGGGGGAGCAAGCGUUGUUCGGAUUUACUGGGCGUAAAGGGCGCGUAGGCGGCCUCUGCAAGUCGACUGUGAAAUCUCCGGGCUUAACCCGGAAAGGUCAGCCGAUACUGCAGGCUAGAGUGCAGAAGGGGCAACUGGAAUUCUCGGUGUAGCGGUGAAAUGCGUAGAUAUCGAGAGGAACACCUGCGGCGAAGGCGGGUUGCUGGGCUGACACUGACGCUGAGGCGCGAAAGCUAGGGGAGCGAACGGG
rnacentral:rRNA from 1 species